rnacentral:rRNA from 1 species
AUACGGAGGAUGCGAGCGUUAUCCGGAUUUAUUGGGUUUAAAGGGAGCGCAGACGGGUCGUUAAGUCAGCUGUGAAAGUUUGGGGCUCAACCUUAAAAUUGCAGUUGAUACUGGCGUCCUUGAGUGCGGUUGAGGUGUGCGGAAUUCGUGGUGUAGCGGUGAAAUGCUUAGAUAUCACGAAGAACUCCGAUUGCGAAGGCAGCACACUAAUCCGUAACUGACGUUCAUGCUCGAAAGUGUGGGUAUCAAACAGGAUUAGAUACCCUGGUAGUCCACACGGUAAACGAUGGAUACUCGCUGUUGGCGAUAUACUGUCAGCGGCUUAGCGAAAGCGUUAAGUAUCCCACCUGGGGAGUACGCCGGCAACGGUGAAACUCAAAGGAAUUGACGGGGGCCCGCACAAGCGGAGGAACAUGUGGUUUAAUUCGAUGAUACGCGAGGAACCUUACCCGGGCUUAAAUUGCAAAGGAAUAAUCUGGAAACAGAUUAGUCUUCGGACCUUUGUGAAGGUGCUGCAUGGUUGUCGUCAGCUCGUGCCGUGAGGUGUCGGCUUAAGUGCCAUAACGAGCGCAACCCUCGCCGCCAGUUACUAGCAGGUAAUGCUGAGGACUCUGGCGGGACUGCCAUCGUAAGAUGUGAGGAAGGUGGGGAUGACGUCAAAUCAGCACGGCCCUUACGUCCGGGGCUACACACGUGUUACAAUGGGCGGUACAGAAGGCAGCUACCUGGCGACAGGAUGCCAAUCCCUAAAGCCGCUCUCAGUUCGGACUGGAGUCUGCAACCCGACUCCACGAAGCUGGAUUCGCUAGUAAUCGCGCAUCAGCCACGGCGCGGUGAAUACGUUCCCGGGCCUUGUACACACCGCCCGUCAAGCCAUGAAAGCCGGGGGUACCUGAAGUGCGUAACCGCAAGGAGCGCCCUAGGGUAAAACCGGUAAUUGGGGCU